GGGCAGGUAGCUCAGUUGGUAGAGCAACGGACUGAAAAUCCGUGUGUCGGCGGUUCAAAUCCGCCUCUGCCCA
rnacentral:tRNA from 5 species